GUAGAGAGGGCUCAGUGGUUAAGAGCACUUGCUGCUUUUCUAGAGAACCUGGGUUCCAUUCCCAGCAUCCACA
rnacentral:tRNA from 1 species